CAUCAGUCCGUCUGUGAGGAGUGACCGGUCCAAAAAUGAAGAUCCAUCCUUCAGUACUGAACCUGGACCCUCAGACAGAAAACGUCAGAACCUUAAACGGAAAGCAGAACCUCCAGGAUCCAGCUGUCCCUCCAUGAGGAGUGACCGGUCCAAAGGAAGCAAUCCAGACUUCAGUCCUGAACCUGGACCAUCA